GUGGGUCUUAACUUGUGAGGUGCCAUGGGAGUGAGGCCUGCAUAAUGACACCACUUGGCUCCCUGGAUUCAGCCCCCUUCCUAGGAAAUGGAUCUCCCACCUUGCCAGAAUUCCCAAGACCAGAGUAUGCAAAGCUCCUGGGUCUCUGUGUGUGCCCAAGCAGCCACUUCGCCAAGACCACACACUCUGUGCUUUGGACCAGAGGCCCUGGAGGGGUGGGCUCACAAGGGGAUCUCCUGAUCUAUGGAUUGCAAAGAUCCAUGGGAAAAGCAUGCUUUCCCAGGUGGGGUCGCACAGUCAGUCAUCACCUCCCUUGGCUGGGAAUGUGGGCUCCCCUGGCUCUGUGCCUCUCCCAGAUGGGAUAUCUCCCCACCCUGCUUUUCCUUGCUCUCCAUGGGUUGAGCUGUCCACCUAGUCAGUCCCAAUGCAAGAACCUGGAUUCCUCAGUUGAAGGUGCAUAAUUCACUUGCUGUUUUUAUUUCACUUUGUGAGAGCUGCAGACUGCAGCUGCGUCUAAUCAACCAUCUUGGCCCACCCACCCAAAAAAGUUAAAAUUGUUUCUUUAAAAUAUGUGUUGCUAUCCUUUGGCUCUGUGUUCCCACCAAAAUCUGUCAAAUUGUAACUCCCAGUGUUGGAAGAGGGGUCUCAUGGGAAGUGAUUGAAUCAUGGGGGCAGAUUGAUUUGUGGUUUAAUUGAUUACCCAUAAAUAUAGAAAUGAUUACAUCUGUUCUUUCAACUCCAGUUAGGUGUGGAUCUAGGCUAAGGAAACUGAAUGCUGAGAUUUAUGGCAAUUUUGGGACUACUACAACUGGCAUGGUGCCAGCAUUUGCUUUUGGUGAGGGACCCCAGGAAGCUUCCAAUCACGGUGGAAGGCAAAGGGGAACAGGUAUGUCACAUGGUAAGAGAAGGGGGAAGAGAGACAGAGGAAGGCGAGACCAGGCUCUAUUAAACAAUCUGAUCUCACAAGAACUAAUAAAGUGAGAACUCACUCAUUAUCAUGGGGAGGUCACCAAGUCGUUCAUGAGAGACCCACCCCAAUGAUCCAAACACCUCUUACUAGGCCCCAAC
rnacentral:lncRNA from 1 species